AGUUAACCAUUUAAUCACUCCCAAUAUCAAAAGAGAAAAGUAUUUUCUUCGUCCCUCAACUUGUCAGAAAGUUCGCUUUUCGUCCCUCAAAAAAAUUUCGUACUUUUUUCGUCUCUCAAUUUUCAAAACCGGACACUUUUAGUCCCUCAGUCCAUCCAAAGUGGUUUUCCUAGCCAUGUGUCUGGUUUUCGUAUAGUUUUUUCACUUAUUUUUUUUCCAAUCAAGAUAUAGAUGAUGUAGAUGGAGGAGAAGUACAACCAGUGCCGACGACGGGCAAUUUCAACAGCUUCGGCGGUCACGGGAUUAAGUGCAAACCGGACACGUGGCUAGACAAACCGCUUCGAAUAGCUUUAAGGACUAAAAGUGUCCGGUUUUGAAAGUUGAGGGAUGAAAAAAAUACGAAUUAUUUUUAAAGGGACGAGAAAUGAAUUUUCCGACAAGUUGAGGGACUAAAAAAGUACUUUUCCCAU
rnacentral:lncRNA from 1 species